rnacentral:rRNA from 1 species
GCACAGCACCCAGCUUCCUACUGGGUUCAGUCAUCUUCCCCUUCCAACUCCGAAUCACAGUCAGGGAAUACUUCUUCGGAUGGUGGCCUGGUCCAGCUUGAAGCAAAGUCACCAAGAAAUGGUGCAUGGUUCGAUGUUGCUGCCAUCCUGUCCUCCAGAUUUUCUGAAACUGGGGACCAGGAAAUACAAGUUUGGUUUUCUGGAUUUGGGGCUGAGGAGGAAGAAUGGAUUAAUGUUUGUAAAUCUGUGAGACUGCGUUCUCUCCCAUGUAUAGCCACAGAAUGUGUUGGUGUGCUUCCUGGGGAUCUUAUUCUUUGUUAUCAGGAAAGAAAAGAGCAGGCCCUCUAUUUUGAUGCUCAUGUUCUUCAAGUUGACAGGCGCACACGUGAUUUAAGGGGUUGCUGCUGCAGUUUUCUUGUUCGUUAUGAUCACGAUCACUCUGAGGAGAUUGUUUCACUGAGGAAGGUAUGUCGUCGACCAUCUGCUGAUGUUAAGAUUGAUAUUGUAUUUGAUCAUAGCCUAGCUGAGCAGAAAGCUCAAAAGUCGCACAAGAGGAUGGAUGUGAACCCUGAUGAGGUCCCCGUGGUUCCCAGCCCACCAAAUCAAGGAGGGCCAUCCGACAAGCUGGCUGCUCCCUUACUUAUCUCGCCUGAUAGCACCCACAGAGAUUCAGUAGCAGAUGUGCAGAUGGGGGAUAUCGAGGCUGCUCCAAACGGUGAAUCUACAAGCAAAGCACAUGGUGACAAGAUGAAUGUCGGAGCGUAG